UAAUUGAAGAGUUUGAUCAUGGCUCAGAUUGAACGCUGGCGGCAGGCCUAACACAUGCAAGUCGAGCGGUAACAGGAGAAAGCUUGCUUUCUUGCUGACGAGCGGCGGACGGGUGAGUAAUGUAUGGGGAUCUGCCCGAUAGAGGGGGAUAACUACUGGAAACGGUGGCUAAUACCGCAUAAUGUCUACGGACCAAAGUAGGGGCUCUUCGGACCUUGCACUAUCGGAUGAACCCAUAUGGGAUUAGCUAGUAGGUGGGGUAAAGGCU
rnacentral:rRNA from 1 species